AAAGGCCAGCGAUACAGGGUGAUAGCCCCGUACAUGAAAACGACCUUGAAGUGAAAUCGAGUAGGGCGGGACACGUGACAUCCUGUCUGAAUAUGGGGGGACCAUCCUCCAAGGCUAAAUACUCCUGACUGACCGAUAGUGAACCAGUACCGUGAGGGAAAGGCGAAAAGAACCCUGUGAGGGGAGUGAAAUAGAACCUGAAACCGUGUACGUACAAGCAGUGGGAGCCCUUCGGGGUGACUGCGUACCUUUGUAUAAUGGGUCAGCGACUUACAUUUUGUAGCGAGGUUAACCGUAUAGGGGAGCCGUAGGGAAACCGAGUCUUAACUGGGCGUCUAGUUGCAAGGUGUAGACCCGAAACCGGGUGAUCUAGCCAUGGGCAGGUUGAAGGUUGAGUAACAUCAACUGGAGGACCGAACCCACUAACGUUGCAAAGUUAGGGGAUGACCUGUGGCUGGGGGUGAAAGGCCAAUCAAACUCGGAGAUAGCUGGUUCUCCCCGAAAGCUAUUUAGGUAGCGCCUCGGACGAAUACUACUGGGGGUAGAGCACUGUUUGGACUAGGGGGUCAUCCCGACUUACCAACUCCAUGCAAACUCCGAAUACCAGUAAGUAAUAUCCGGGAGACACACGGCGGGUGCUAACGUCCGUCGUGAAGAGGGAAACAACCCAGACCGCCGGCUAAGGUCCCAAAGUUCUGGUUAAGUGGGAAACGAUGUGGGAAGGCUCAGACAGCUAGGAUGUUGGCUUAGAAGCAGCCAUCAUUUAAAGAAAGCGUAAUAGCUCACUAGUCGAGUCGGCCUGCGCGGAAGAUGUAACGGGGCUCAAACCAGGCACCGAAGCCGCGGAUUCACACUUAUGUGUGAGUGGUAGGGGAGCGUUCUGUAAGUCUGCGAAGGUGUAUCGAGAGGUAUGCUGGAGAUAUCAGAAGUGCGAAUGCUGACGUAAGUAACGAUAAAGGGGGUGAAAAGCCUCCUCGCCGGAAGACCAA
rnacentral:rRNA from 1 species